CAGUCGCCACGGUAAUACGUAGGUGGCAAGCGUUGUCCGGAAUUAUUGGGCGUAAAGGGCGCGUAGGCGGUUUGACAAGUUUGGUGUGAAAUCUAUGGGCUCAACCCAUAGCCUGCAUCGAAAACUGUCGGGCUUGAGUAUGGGAGAGGUGAGUGGAAUUUCCGGUGUAGCGGUGAAAUGCGUAGAUAUCGGAAGGAACACCUGUGGCGAAAGCGGCUCACUGGACCAUUACUGGCGCUGAUGCACGAAAGCUAGGGGAGCAAACAGGAUUAGAUACCCCUGUAGUCCCUGUCUCUUAUAC
rnacentral:rRNA from 1 species